GGGGGUGUAACUCAGUGGUAGAGUGUGUGCUUAAUAUGCAUGAGGCCCUCAGUUCAAUUCUCAACAUCA
rnacentral:tRNA from 1 species